rnacentral:rRNA from 1 species
GCCUACGGGGGGCAGCAGUAGGGAAUCUUCCACAAUGGGCGAAAGCCUGAUGGAGCAACGCCGCGUGGGUGAAGAAGGUCUUCGGAUCGUAAAACCCUGUUGUUAGAGAAGAAAGUGCGUGAGAGUAACUGUUCACGUUUCGACGGUAUCUAACCAGAAAGCCACGGCUAACUACGUGCCAGCAGCCGCGGUAAUACGUAGGUGGCAAACGUUAUCCGGAUUUAUUGGGCGUAAAGGGAACGCAGGCGGUCUUUUAAGUCUGAUGUGAAAGCAUUCGGCUUAACCGGAGUAGUUCAUUGGAAACU